UUCUCUUUCCAUUUUGUCUCUUAACAAAAAUAUAUUCUCUUUCACUGGCUUGUACCCUUCAGAUUCUAUCCUUUGUUGUACAUUCCCCGUAUGAACCACAAUCUGUGACUCAUUUUUCACUGUUUUAUUACCAAACUUUUGCAACUUUUUAUAUUCCUCAUAAGUAGGCAUGGACUCUGUUUUCUUCAACUCAUUAGGUUUUUUUGAACCUUUAGAUGAAAUAUUGGAUUCAAGUUCUUCAAGGGUAUGAAAGGAAAAGCUUUUUCUUGGAAGUCUCCUUUUCGGGGAAGCGCCGCCAUCUUUGGCGGCUGGCGGCGGCGGCGCGGGGAGUGCGAGGAGAGUUUUUUUAGGUGAUUUUAGUGGUGGAGGAUUUUGUAGGGUUGGUUUAAUAUCUUCUAAAGCUUUGCUAACUUCAUCCCAAGAACGAGGAUCCUCAUCAGUAUUUGCACUGAAUUUUGCAAGAAUUGGUUGUGGUACUAUUGCAAGUU
rnacentral:lncRNA from 1 species